rnacentral:rRNA from 1 species
GACGAACGCUGGCGGCGUGCUUAACACAUGCAAGUCGAACGCUGAAGACCUGGCUUUUGUUGGGUUGGAUGAGUGGCGAACGGGUGAGUAACACGUGAGUAACCUGCCCUCUUCUUUGGGAUAACGCCCGGAAACGGGUGCUAAUACUGGAUAUUCACUGAUCUUCGCAUGGGGGUUGGUGGAAAGGUUUGUUCUGGUGGGGGAUGGGCUCGCGGCCUAUCAGCUUGUUGGUGGGGUGAUGGCCUACCAAGGCUUUGACGGGUAGCCGGCCUGAGAGGGUGACCGGUCACAUUGGGACUGAGAUACGGCCCAGACUCCUACGGGAGGCAGCAGUGGGGAAUAUUGCACAAUGGGCGAAAGCCUGAUGCAGCGACGCCGCGUGAGGGAUGGAGGCCUGCGGGUUGUAAACCUCUUUCGCGCAUGGUCAAGCCGCAACUGUGGGUUGUGGUGAGGGUAGUGGGUAAAGAAGCGCCGGCUAACUACGUG